GGAUGUGAGGGCGAUCUGGCUGCGACAUCUGUCACCCCAUUGAUCGCCAGGGUUGAUUCGGCUGAUCUGGCUGGCUAGGCGGGUGUCCCCUUCCUCCCUCACCGCUCCAUGUGCGUCCCUCCCGAAGCUGCGCGCUCGGUCGAAGAGGACGACCAUCCCCGAUAGAGGAGGACCGUUCUUCGGUCAAGGGUAUACGAGUAGCUGCGCUCCCCUGCUAGAACCUCCAAACAAGUUCUCCAACUAGAUUUAACGACUUUUGAUGUUCUGGGUGGUAUAACUCUAUUUUAAUGACAUAGAAGAUGCAGCUGUUCUUUACAUGAAGCAGUCAUU
rnacentral:snRNA from 1 species